CCUUCUUUUCCUGGUGGAGACCAGGCAUGUAGUCCUGCUCCCCGUUAUGUUUGAGGCAGAAGGAAAAGGCCUUCUUAGCACCAUGUCUUCAGUGCCUGUGGCCUCCUCUCCACCGGCUCUGUCCCUCAGGUCUAGGAUACCA